UACGAAGGGGGGCUAGCGUUGUUCGGAAUUACUGGGCGUAAAGCGCAUGUAGGCGGCUUGGUAAGUCGGACGUGAAAGCCCGGGGCUCAACCCCGGAAGCGCGCUCGAUACUGCCGAACUUGGGUCCUGAAGAGGAGAGCGGAAUUCCCCGGUGUAGAGGUGAAAAUUCGUAGAUAUCGGGAGGAACACCAGUGGCGAAGGCGGCUCUCUGGGCAGGUACCGACGCUGAGAUGCGAAAGCGUGGGAAGCAAACAGG
rnacentral:rRNA from 1 species